rnacentral:rRNA from 1 species
AUUGAACGCUGGCGGCAUGCCUUACACAUGCAAGUCGAACGGCAGCACGGGUGCUUGCACCUGGUGGCGAGUGGCGAACGGGUGAGUAAUACAUCGGAACAUGUCCUGUAGUGGGGGAUAGCCCGGCGAAAGCCGGAUUAAUACCGCAUACGACCUACGGAUGAAAGCGGGGGACCUUCGGGCCUCGCGCUAUAGGGUUGGCCGAUGGCUGAUUAGCUAGUUGGUGGGGUAAAGGCCUACCAAGGCGACGAUCAGUAGCUGGUCUGAGAGGACGACCAGCCACACUGGGACUGAGACACGGCCCAGACUCCUACGGGAGGCAGCAGUGGGGAAUUUUGGACAAUGGGCGAAAGCCUGAUCCAGCAAUGCCGCGUGUGUGAAGAAGGCCUUCGGGUUGUAAAGCACUUUUGUCCGGAAAGAAAUCCUUGGCCCUAAUACGGUCGGGGGAUGACGGUACCGGAAGAAUAAGCACCGGCUAACUACGUG